UACGUAGGGUGCAAGCGUUGUCCGGAAUUAUUGGGCGUAAAGAGCUCGUAGGCGGUCUGUCGCGUCUGCUGUGAAAACUCAGGGCUUAACCCUGAGCUUGCAGUGGGUACGGGCAGACUAGAGUGCGGUAGGGGAGACUGGAAUUCCUGGUGUAGCGGUGAAAUGCGCAGAUAUCAGGAGGAACACCGGUGGCGAAGGCGGGUCUCUGGGCCGUAACUGACGCUGAGGAGCGAAAGCUAGGGGAGCAAACGGG
rnacentral:rRNA from 1 species